rnacentral:rRNA from 1 species
UCAGGAUGAACGCUGGCGGCGUGCCUAACACAUGCAAGUCGAACGGUCGAAAGACAGUGGCGCACGGGUGAGUAACACGUAGCUAACCUGCCCUCGAGAGUGGGAUAACUCCGGGAAACCGGAGCUAAUACCGCAUAAGCUCACGGACUGUAGAGGUCUGCGAGAAAAGGAGCAAUCCGCUUGAGGAGGGGGCUGCGGCCCAUCAGCUAGAUGGUGAGGUAACGGCUUACCAUGGCGACGACGGGUAGGGGGUCUGAGAGGAUGGUCCCCCACACUGGAACUGAGACACGGUCCAGACUCCUACGGGAGGCAGCAGUGAGGAAUAUUGCACAAUGGGGGAAACCCUGAUGCAGCGACGCCGCGUGGGUGAUGAAGGUCUUCGGAUCGUAAAACCCUUUUCUAGGUGACGAGAGAGGACGGUAGCCUAGGAAUAAGCCUCGGCUAACUACGUGCCAGCAGCCGCGGUAAAACGUAGGAGGCGAGCGUUAUCCGGAGUUACUGGGCGUAAAGCGUAUGUAGGCGGUAGGGCAAGUUGCGUGUGAAAGCUCCCGGCUAAACUGGGAGAGGACACGUAAGACUGCUCGGCUAGAGGGUGGUAGAGGGGCGUGGAAUUCCGGGUGUAGCGGUGAAAUGUGUAGAGAUCCGGAGGAACACCAGUGGCGCAAGCGACGCCCUGGGCCAUACCUGACGCUGAGAUACGAAAGCGUGGGGAGCGAACGGGAUUAGAGACCCCGGUAGUCCACGCCGUAAACGAUGCUUGCUAGGUGUUCACUCGCAAGAGGGAGUGCCGAAGCUAACGCGAUAAGCAAGCCGCCUGGGGAGUACGGUCGCAAGGCUAAAACUCAAAGGAAUUGACGGGGGCCCGCACAAGCAGCGGAG